GAAGCAAUCGCAGUUGGAACCUUUGCGCUUCUUCUUUUGGACUCACGUGAGACACUCUAAGCCGCUGUGUGAGGUCUCCUAGUGUUUGUGCAAAUCCACUAGCGUCUGAUCGGAAGAAAGUAGCUGCUAAAGAGGACAUGGGGAGAAAGCAGCCAUCUGUCAGCCAGAAAAAGGCCAUUACCAGGAACUAAAUCUGCUGGAAUCUUGAUCUUGGACUUCCCAGCCUCCAGAAAAAAAUAAAUGUCUGUUGUUUCAGUCAA